rnacentral:tRNA from 1 species
UUCCCGGUAGCUCAGUGGUAGAGCAACCGGCUGUUAACCGGUUGGUCGCUGGUUCGAAUCCGGCCCGGGGAGCCA